rnacentral:rRNA from 1 species
GACGAACGCUGGCGGCGUGCUUAACACAUGCAAGUCGAACGGAAAGGCCCUGCUUUUGUGGGGUGCUCGAGUGGCGAACGGGUGAGUAACACGUGAGUAACCCGCCCCUGACUUUGGGAUAACUUCAGGAAACAGGGGCUAAUACCGGAUAGGAGCUCCUGCUGCAUGGUGGGGGUUGGAAAAAUUCGGCGGUUGGGGAUGGACUCGCGGCUUAUCAGCUUGUUGGUGGGGUAGUGGCUUACCAAGGCUUUGACGGGUAGCCGGCCUGAGAGGGUGACCGGCCACCUUGGGCCUGAGAUACGGCCCAGACUCCUACGGGAGGCAGCAGUGGGGAAUAUUGCACAAUGGGCUGAAGCCUGAUGCAGCAACGCCGCGUGCGGGAUGACGGCCUUCGGGUUGUAAACCGCUUUCGCCUGUGACGAAGCGUGAGUGACGGUAAUGGGUAAAGAAGCACCGGCUAACUACGUG